UUCCUUUGUAGUCUUUAUUUUUUAAAAAACAAAAAAACAAAAAAUCAAAUUUUCCCUUCUCCUUCUUCCUCACGUCACGCGCCCCCCUCGUGAAAACACUCGCCGUCGAACCUCCCAGCAGCCACGCUUUCCGCCGAGCCCAACGCCGACAAAUAGUCGCCAACCUUGAAGCGCCGCUGACCGCCGUUGUUUGGACUCGUCGGAUCUGAAGCCGAACGCCAGUGCGUCGCCCCUUCCGAGCCACAAGCAGCCCUUCAGCCGUUGUUGCGAGCCACCCGAGCACUAAAGUUGAACGCACCUGGAUCGGACGCCAAACGACCGUUAUGAGCCUCCGCCCAACCGAGCCGCUCGUCCAGAUCCCCUCCAGCUGCGUGUCCGUCGCUUCCGCCGCCCCAGUCGCACCUUUGCCGAUCACUGUCGUCCCUUCUGCGUUGGGUCCGCUUUGGUCUUCGUCGGACUCUUAGAUUUAGAUCCAAGAUUGGAGUACUUCAAAGUGCGCAACUUGUUGUCCAGCGGAUUUGAGUUUGUUCGGCAAGUAGUUUGGUUCCAAUUCAUCAUCCAUUGGUAAGAGGAGAUUUUGGAGGCAAAAUCUUGCGAGUGUUUGUUGAUCAAGUUUCGUUUGGGAUUCACCAGAUUGUGUUUCCUUCGGGAUUCACCAGGGGUUGUUUCACCAGAGGUAGUGAGCAUACUUAACUACAGUAGGAUAGAAAUCAGUUUUUCAUGUAUGUAUGUGUCCCAUGAGAACUAAAGCAGUUUUUAUGUUCUACCAGAGGUAGGCAUCUAGAAGACAUAAAUGUCUAGCCCGACCCCAGUAGUGGGGUUACUUACUGAGUAUUUUAUAUUCAUCCUUUCUCAUGCUAUUGUUUCAGGUAAAGAUAGAGACGCACCGACGAUUGACAAGCGGAAUUCGUGAUCGAGCCACUAGG